GGCCCCUUGGUCCAAGCGGUUAAGACACCGCCCUUUCACGGCGGUAACAACGGGUUCGAAUCCCGUAGGGGUCA
rnacentral:tRNA from 1 species